rnacentral:rRNA from 1 species
UACGUAGGGGGCAAGCGUUGUCCGGAAUCAUUGGGCGUAAAGCGCGUGUAGGCGGCUCGGUAAGUCCGCUCUGAAAGUCAAAGGCUCAACCUUUGAAAGCGGGUGGAUACUGCCAGGCUAGAGUCCGGAAGAGGCGAGUGGAAUUCCUGGUGUAGCGGUGGAAUGCGCAGAUAUCAGGAGGAACACCAACGGCGAAGGCAGCUCGCUGGGACGGUACUGACACUGAGGCGCGAAAGCGUGGGGAGCGAACAGG